AGAUUAUUGUGUUGGGAUCUUCACAUUUGAUGGAUUUCACCACAUGGUGAGAAAGACUGAUCAGAAUCGUUACAAACCAAUGUGAUAAUGGUCAAGCAGAGAAAAUGACACUUGGGCAAAUUGGGGCCUUUGUCCUCCUGUUCUAGGAGCACAAAACUAACCUCCCAUCACUCCUCACUACCUUGCUGAACCCCAAGCCAGGCACCAGGUCAAAUCAGUCAGAAGAAAUUAUCAACCUCAGGCAGACAAAGUCAAAAUUGUCUCCUCUGUGCUUUUUCCAAAUCACCCACCACAAAACCCAGGUAUCUUUUAUUGUAUUGCUAAACUAAGAUGCAAGAGAAGCA
rnacentral:lncRNA from 1 species